AAUCCUGGCUCAGGACGAACGCUGGCGGCGUGCCUAAUACAUGCAAGUAGAACGCUGAAGGAGGAGCUUGCUUCUCUGGAUGAGUUGCGAACGGGUGAGUAACGCGUAGGUAACCUGCCUGGUAGCGGGGGAUAACUAUUGGAAACGAUAGCUAAUACCGCAUAACAGUAGAUGUUGCAUGACAUUUGCUUAAAAGGUGCAAUUGCACCACUACCAGAUGGACCUGCGUUGUA
rnacentral:rRNA from 1 species